CUCCGUAGGUGAACCUGCGGAGGGAUCAUUACACAAAUAUGAAGGCGGGCUGGAACCUCUCGGGGUUACAGCCUUGCUGAAUUAUUCACCCUUGUCUUUUGCGUACUUCUUGUUUCCUUGGUGGGUUCGCCCACCACUAGGACAAACAUAAACCUUUUGUAAUUGCAAUCAGCGUCAGUAACAAAUUAAUAAUUACAACUUUCAACAACGGAUCUCUUGGUUCUGGCAUCGAUGAAAAACGCAGCGAAAUGCGAUAAGUAGUGUGAAUUGCAGAAUUCAGUGAAUCAUCGAAUCUUUGAACGCACAUUGCGCCCUUUGGUAUUCCAAAGGGCAUGCCUGUUCGAGCGUCAUUUGUACCCUCAAGCUUUGCUUGGUGUUGGGCGUCUUGUCUCUAGCUUUGCUGGAGACUCGCCUUAAAGUAAUUGGCAGCCGGCCUACUGGUUUCGGAGCGCAGCACAAGUCGCACUCUCUAUCAGCAAAGGUCUAGCAUCCAUUAAGCCUUUUUUUCAACUUUUGACCUCGGAUCAGGUAGGGAUACCCGCUGAACUUA
rnacentral:rRNA from 1 species